rnacentral:rRNA from 1 species
UACGGGGGGGGUAAGCGUUGUUCGGAAUUACUGGGCGUAAUGGGCUCGUAGGCGGCCAACUAAGUCAUACGUGAAAUCCCUCAGCUUAACUGGGGAACUGCGUGUGAUACUGGAUGGCUUGGAUUUGGGAGAGGGAUGCGGAAUUCCAGGUGUAGCGGUGAAAUGCGUAGAUAUCUGGAGGAACACCGGUGGCGAAGGCGGCAUCCUGGUCCAAUAUUGACGCUGAGGAGCGAAAGCCUGGGGAGCAAACGGG